rnacentral:rRNA from 1 species
CCGCAUGGUUCAAAAGUGAAAGACGGUCUUGCUGUCACUUAUAGAUGGAUCCGCGCUGCAUUAGCUAGUUGGUAAGGUAACGGCUUACCAAGGCAACGAUGCAUAGCCGACCUGAGAGGGUGAUCGGCCACACUGGAACUGAGACACGGUCCAGACUCCUACGGGAGGCAGCAGUAGGGAAUCUUCCGCAAUGGGCGAAAGCCUGACGGAGCAACGCCGCGUGAGUGAUGAAGGUCUUCGGAUCGUAAAACUCUGUUAUUAGGGAAGAACAUAUGUGUAAGUAACUGUGCACAUCUUGACGGUACCUAAUCAGAAAGCCACGGCUAACUACGUGCCAGCAGCCGCGGUAAUACGUAGGUGGCAAGCGUUAUCCGGAAUUAUUGGGCGUAAAGCGCGCGUAGGCGGUUUUUUAAGUCUGAUGUGAAAGCCCACGGCUCAACCGUGGAGGGUCAUUGGAAACUGGAAAACUUGAGUGCAGAAGAGGAAAGUGGAAUUCCAUGUGUAGCGGUGAAAUGCGCAGAGAUAUGGAGGAACACCAGUGGCGAAGGCGACUUUCUGGUCUGUAACUGACGCUGAUGUGCGAAAGCGUGGGGAUCAAACAGGAUUAGAUACCCUGGUAGUCCACGCCGUAAACGAUGAGUGCUAAGUGUUAGGGGGUUUCCGCCCCUUAGUGCUGCAGCUAACGCAUUAAGCACUCCGCCUGGGGAGUACGACCGCAAGGUUGAAACUCAAAGGAAUUGACGGGGACCCGCACAAGCGGUGGAGCAUGUGGUUUAAUUCGAAGCAACGCGAAGAACCUUACCAAAUCUUGACAUCCUUUGACAACUCUAGAGAUAGAGCCUUCCCCUUCGGGGGACAAAGUGACAGGUGGUGCAUGGUUGUCGUCAGCUCGUGUCGUGAGAUGUUGGGUUAAGUCCCGCAACGAGCGCAACCCUUAAGCUUAGUUGCCAUCAUUAAGUUGGGCACUCUAAGUUGACUGCCGGUGACAAACCGGAGGAAGGUGGGGAUGACGUCAAAUCAUCAUGCCCCUUAUGAUUUGGGCUACACACGUGCUACAAUGGACAAUACAAAGGGCAGCGAAACCGCGAGGUCAAGCAAAUCCCAUAAAGUUGUUCUCAGUUCGGAUUGUAGUCUGCAACUCGACUACAUGAAGCUGGAAUCGCUAGUAAUCGUAGAUCAGCAUGCUACGGUGAAUACGUUCCCGGGUCUUGUACACACCGCCCGUCACACCACGAGAGUUUGUAACACCCGAAGCCGGUGGAGUAACCUUUUAGGAGCUAGCCGUCGAAGGUGGGACAAAUGAUUGGGGUGAAGUCGUAACAAGGUAGCCGUAUCGGAAGGUGCGGCUGGAUCACCUCCUUUCU